rnacentral:rRNA from 1 species
GACGAACGCUGGCGGCGUGCCUAAUACAUGCAAGUAGAACGCUGAAGGAAGGAGCUUGCUCUUUCUGGAUGAGUUGCGAACGGGUGAGUAACGCGUAGGUAACCUGCCUGGUAGCGGGGGAUAACUAUUGGAAACGAUAGCUAAUACCGCAUAAAAUUGAUUAUUGCAUGAUAGUCAAUUAAAAGGUGCAACUGCACCACUACCAGAUGGACCUGCGUUGUAUUAGCUAGUUGGUGGGGUAACGGCUCACCAAGGCGACGAUACAUAGCCGACCUGAGAGGGUGAUCGGCCACACUGGGACUGAGACACGGCCCAGACUCCUACGGGAGGCAGCAGUAGGGAAUCUUCGGCAAUGGACGGAAGUCUGACCGAGCAACGCCGCGUGAGUGAAGAAGGUGUUCGGAUCGUAAAGCUCUGUUGUAAGAGAAGAACGAGUGUGAGAGUGGAAAGUUCACACUGGGACGGGAUCUUACCUGAAAGGGACGGCUAACUACGG